AAAGAUUUAUCGGUGAUGGAUGGGGAUGCGUCUGAUUAGCUUGUUGGCGGGGUAACGGCCCACCAAGGCAACGAUCAGUAGGGGUUCUGAGAGGAAGGUCCCCCACAUUGGAACUGAGACACGGUCCAAACUCCUACGGGAGGCAGCAGUGAGGAAUAUUGGUCAAUGGACGAGAGUCUGAACCAGCCAAGUAGCGUGCAGGAUGACGGCCCUAUGGGUUGUAAACUGCUUUUAUAAGGGAAUAAAGUGAGUCUCGUGAGACUUUUUGCAUGUACCUUAUGAAUAAGGACCGGCUAAUUCCGUGCCAGCAGCCGCGGUAAUACGGAAGGUCCGGGCGUUAUCCGGAUUUAUUGGGUUUAAAGGGAGCGUAGGCCGGAGAUUAAGCGUGUUGUGAAAUGUAGACGCUCAACGUCUGCACUGCAGCGCGAACUGGUUUCCUUGAGUACGCACAAAGUGGGCGGAAUUCGUGGUGUAGCGGUGAAAUGCUUAGAUAUCACGAAGAACUCCGAUUGCGAAGGCAGCUCACUGGAGCGCAACUGACGCUGAAGCUCGAAAGUGCGGGUAUCGAACAGGAUUAGAUACCCUGGUAGUCCGCACGGUAAACGAUGGAUGCCCGCUGUUGGUCUGAAUAGGUCAGCGGCCAAGCGAAAGCAUUAAGCAUCCCACCUGGGGAGUACGCCGGCAACGG
rnacentral:rRNA from 1 species